rfam:Methanoculleus sp. SDB scaffold-1071, whole genome shotgun sequence.
GGGCUUGUGGUCUAGCUGGUUAUGACGUCGCCCUUACACGGCGAAGAUCUCCGGUUCGAAUCCGGACAGGCCCA